rnacentral:rRNA from 1 species
UACGGGGGGGGCAAGCGUUGUUCGGAAUUACUGGGCGUAAAGGGCUCGUAGGUGGCCAACUAAGUCAGACGUGAAAUCCCUCGGCUUAACCGGGGAACUGCGUCUGAUACUGGAUGGCUUGAGUGUGGGAGAGGGAUGCGGAAUUCCAGGUGUAGCGGUGAAAUGCGUAGAUAUCUGGAGGAACACCGGUGGCGAAGGCGGCAUCCUGGACCAACACUGACGCUGAGGAGCGAAAGCCAGGGGAGCAAACGGG